UAGGGAAUCUUCGGCAAUGGACGAAAGUCUGACCGAGCAACGCCGCGUGAGUGAAGAAGGUUUUCGGAUCGUAAAACUCUGUUGUUAGAGAAGAACAAGGACGUUAGUAACUGAACGUCCCCUGACGGUAUCUAACCAGAAAGCCACGGCUAACUACGUACCAGCAGCCGCGGUAAUACGUAGGUGGCAAGCGUUGUCCGGAUUUAUUGGGCGUAAAGCGAGCGCAGGCGGUUUCUUAAGUCUGAUGUGAAAGCCCCCGGCUCAACCGGGGAGGGUCAUUGGAAACUGGGAGACUUGAGUGCAGAAGAGGAUAGUGGAAUUCCAUGUGUAGCGGUGAAAUGCGUAGAUAUAUGGAGGAACACCAGUGGCGAAGGCGGCUCUCUGGUCUGUAACUGACGCUGAGGCUCGAAAGCGUGGGGAGCAAACAGG
rnacentral:rRNA from 1 species